AGAGUUUGAUCCUGGCUCAGGACGAACGCUGGCGGCACGCUUAACACAUGCAAGUCGAACGAGAGAAGAGGAGCUUGCUUUUCUGAUCUAGUGGCGGACGGGUGAGUAACACGUGAGCAAUCUGCCUUUCAGAGGGGGAUACCGAUUGGAAACGAUCGUUAAUACCGCAUAACAUAAUUGAACCGCAUGAUUUGAUUAUCAAAGAUUUAUCGCUGAAAGAUGAGCUCGCGUCUGAUUAGCUAGUUGGUAAGGUAACGGCUUACCAAGGCGACGAUCAGUAGCCGGACUGAGAGGUUGAUCGGCCACAUUGGGACUGAGACACGGCCCAGACUCCUACGGGAGGCAGCAGUGGGGAAUAUUGCACAAUGGAGGAAACUCUGAUGCAGCGAUGCCGCGUGAGGGAAGAAGGUUUUAGGAUUGUAAACCUCUGUCUUCAGGGACGAAAAAAGACGGUACCUGAGGAGGAAGCUCCGGCUAACUACGUGCCAGCAGCCGCGGUAAUACGUAGGGAGCGAGCGUUGUCCGGAAUUACUGGGUGUAAAGGGAGCGUAGGCGGGAUCGCAAGUCAGAUGUGAAAACUAUGGGCUUAACCCAUAAACUGCAUUUGAAACUGUGGUUCUUGAGUGAAGUAGAGGUAAGCGGAAUUCCUAGUGUAGCGGUGAAAUGCGUAGAUAUUAGGAGGAACAUCAGUGGCGAAGGCGGCUUACUGGGCUUUAACUGACGCUGAGGCUCGAAAGCGUGGGGAGCAAACAGGAUUAGAUACCCUGGUAGUCCACGCCGUAAACGAUGAUUACUAGGUGUGGGGGGACUGACCCCUUCCGUGCCGCAGCAAACGCAAUAAGUAAUCCACCUGGGGAGUACGACCGCAAGGUUGAAACUCAAAGGAAUUGACGGGGGCCCGCACAAGCAGUGGAGUAUGUGGAUUAAUUUGAAGCAACGCGAUGAACCUUACCAGGUCUUGACAUCGUAUGCAUAGCUCAGAGAUGAGUGAAAUCUCUUCGGAGACAUAUAGACAGGUGGUGCAUGGUUGUCGUCAGCUCGUGUCGUGAGAUGUUGGGUUAAGUCCCGCAACGAGCGCAACCCUUACUGUUAGUUGCUACGCAAGAGCACUCUAGCAGGACUGCCGUUGACAAAACGGAGGAAGGUGGGGAUGACGUCAAAUCAUCAUGCCCCUUAUGACCUGGGCCUCACACGUACUACAAUGGCUGUCAACAGAGGGAAGCAAAGCCGCGAGGUGGAGCGAACCCCUAAAAGCAGUCUUAGUUCGGAUUGUAGGCUGCAACCCGCCUACAUGAAAUCGGAAUUGCUAGUAACCGCAGAUCAGCAUGCUGCGGUGAAUACGUUCCCGGGCCUUGUACACACUGCCCGUCACGCCAUGGGAGUCGGUAACACCCGAAGCCUGUAGUCUAACCGCAAGGAGGACGCAGUCGAAGGUGGGAUUGAUGACUGGGGUGAAGUCGUAACAAGGUA
rnacentral:rRNA from 1 species